rnacentral:rRNA from 1 species
GACGAACGCUGGCGGCGUGCUUAACACAUGCAAGUCGAACGGAAAGGCCUGCUUUCCCUUGUGGAUUGCGGGUACUCGAGUGGCGAACGGGUGAGUAACACGUGAGUGAUCUGCCCCCAACUUGGGUAUAAGCCUGGGAAACUGGGUCUAAUUCCCGAUAGGACUGCAGGGUGGUGCCUGUGGUGGCACACGAUUUUCUAGUGGUUGGGGAUGAGCUCGCGGCCUAUCAGCUUGUUGGUGGGGUAAUGGCCUACCAAGGCGGCGACGGGUAGCCGGCCUGAGAGGGUGGACGGCCACAUUGGGACUGAGAUACGGCCCAGACGCCUACGGGAGGCAGCAGUGGGGAAGAUUGCACAAUGGGCGGAAGCCUGAUGCAGCGACGCCGCGUGGGGGAUGACGGCCUUCGGGUUGUAAACUCCUUUCGACCGCGAGGAAGCCACCUGGUUGGAAGGGUGGUGACGGUAGUGGUAGAAGAAGCACCGGCUAACUACGUG